GAUGAACGCUGGCGGCGUGCCUAAUACAUGCAAGUCGAGCGAACGGACGAGAAGCUUGCUUCUCUGAUGUUAGCGGCGGACGGGUGAGUAACACGUGGAUAACCUACCUAUAAGACUGGGAUAACUUCGGGAAACCGGAGCUAAUACCGGAUAAUAUUUUGAACCGCAUGGUUCAAAAGUGAAAGACGGUCUUGCUGUCACUUAUAGAUGGAUCCGCGCUGCAUUAGCUAGUUGGUAAGGUAACGGCUUACCAAGGCAACGAUGCAUAGCCGACCUGAGAGGGUGAUCGGCCACACUGGAACUGAGACACGGUCCAGACUCCUACGGGAGGCAGCAGUAGGGAAUCUUCCGCAAAGGGCGAAAGCCUGACGGAGCAACGCCGCGUGAGUGAUGAAGGUCUUCGGAUCGUAAAACUCUGUUAUUAGGGAAGAAUAUAUGUGUAAGUAACUGUGCACAUCUUGACGGUACCUAAUCAGAAAGCCACGGCUAACUACGUG
rnacentral:rRNA from 1 species